rnacentral:misc_RNA from 1 species
ACCUUAUAUUGACUAUAUUCUUUGCAAAAACACAAAAAAAUGAUACGUAUACACACGUAUAAUGCCACAUGUCUACUAACCAUAUCAUAACUCUUCUUAUAUAUAUCUCUUAUUUGAAAUACCAGAUGAUUAUGAUGAGAAAAAGAAUCUAUGAACUUUUUUGAUUGGGGAUGAAAAUUUUCUUAAUAUUCCUUAUGCGGUUGCAG